UACGGAGGAUGCAAGCGUUAUCCGGAAUUAUUGGGCGUAAGGCGUCCGCAGGUGGUUUAUCAAGUCUGCUGUCAAAGCGUCUGGCUCAACCAGAUAAAGGCAGUGGAAACUACAUAGCUAGAGUAAGGUAGGGGUAGAGGGAAUUCCUGGUGUAGCGGUGAAAUGCGUAGAGAUCAGGAAGAACACCGGUGGCGAAAGCGCUCUGCUGGACCUUAACUGACACUGAGGGACGAAAGCUAGGGGAGCGAAUGGG
rnacentral:rRNA from 1 species